CCCUUAGAUGUUCUGGGCCGCACGCGCGCUACACUGACGAAUGCAACGAGCUCAUAACCUUGGCCGAAAGGUCUGGGUAAUCUCCAAAUUUCGUCGUGAUGGGGAUAGAUUAUUGCAAUUAUUAAUCUUCAACGAGGAAUGCCUAGUAAGCGCAAGUCAUCAGCUUGCGUUGAUUACGUCCCUGCCCUUUGUACACACCGCCCGUCGCUCCUACCGAUUGAAUGGUCCGGUGAAGCGCUCGGACCGCGGCCUCUUGACGGUUCGCUGUCGAUUGGCUGUGGGAAGUUCGUUAAACCUUAUCAUUUAGAGGAAGGAGAAGUCGUAACA
rnacentral:rRNA from 1 species